AUCUAUGGCCAUGCCACCCUGAUCAGCCCGAUCCCAUCUGAUCUUAGAAGCUAAGCAGGGUUGGGCCUGUUUAGUACUUGGAUGGGAGACCACCUAGGAAGACCAGGUGCUUGCUAUA
rnacentral:rRNA from 1 species